GUACACUCCUGCGGGAGGCAGCAGUGGGGAAUUUUGGACAAUGGGCGAAAGCCUGAUCCAGCAAUGCCGCGUGUGUGAAGAAGGCCUUCGGGUUGUAAAGCACUUUUGUCCGGAAAGAAAUCCUUGGCUCUAAUACAGUCGGGGGAUGACGGUACCGGAAGAAUAAGCACCGGCUAACUACGUGCCAGCAGCCGCGGUAAUACGUAGGGUGCGAGCGUUAAUCGGAAUUACUGGGCGUAAAGCGUGCGCAGGCGGUUUGCUAAGACCGAUGUGAAAUCCCCGGGCUCAACCUGGGAACUGCAUUGGUGACUGGCAGGCUAGAGUAUGGCAGAGGGGGGUAGAAUUCCACGUGUAGCAGUGAAAUGCGUAGAGAUGUGGAGGAAUACCGAUGGCGAAGGCAGCCCCCUGGGCCAAUACUGACGCUCAUGCACGAAAGCGUGGGGAGCAAACAGGAUUAGAUACCCUUGUAGUCCCAUGA
rnacentral:rRNA from 1 species